rnacentral:rRNA from 1 species
AGUGAACGCUGGCGGUAGGCCUAACACAUGCAAGUCGAACGGCAGCACGGUAAAAGCUGGCAGAUACGGGGGGAGAGGGGAAGGCGGGAGUAGUACAUAGCGACAUGUACUGUUGCGGGGGGGAACAAGUAGGAAGACUAACGAAAAUACCACACGAGACGAAGGGGAGAGUGCGGGAGAGCUUCGGCCCAUGCGCGAGGAGAGGAGGCGAUGUCUGAUUAGCUAGUUGGAGGGGUAAAGGCACACCAAGGCGACGAUCCGUAGCUGGUCUGAGAGGAAGACCAGCCACACUGGAACUGAGACACGGUCCAGACUCCUACGGGAGGCAGCAGUGGGGAAUUUUGGACAAUGGGCGCAAGCCUGAUCCAGCCAUGCCGCGUGUGUGAAGAAGGCCUUCGGGUUGUAAAGCCCUUUUGUUCGGAAAGAAAUGGCUCUGGUUAAUACCUCGCGUUGCUGACGGUACCGGAAGAAUAAGCACCGGCUAACUUCGUG